rnacentral:rRNA from 1 species
CACGUAGGGUGCGAGCGUUGUCCGGAAUUAUUGGGCGUAAAGAGCUCGUAGGCGGUGUGUCGCGUCGGCCGUGAAAACCUGCAGCUUAACUGUGGGCUUGCGGUCGAUACGGGCAGACUAGAGGUAUGCAGGGGAGAACGGAAUUCCUGGUGUAGCGGUGAAAUGCGCAGAUAUCAGGAGGAACACCGGUGGCGAAGGCAGCACUCUGGGACGUGACUGACGCUGAGACGCGAAAGCGUGGGGAGCAAACAGG